rnacentral:rRNA from 1 species
GAGUUUGAUCCUGGCUCAGGAUGAACGCUGGCGGCGUGCCUAACACAUGCAAGUCGAACGAAGCACUUUUUUACAAUCCCUUCGGGGUGACGAAUUUGUGACUGAGUGGCGGACGGGUGAGUAACGCGUGGGAAACCUGCCUUGUACCGGGGGAUAGCAGUUGGAAACGACUGAUAAUACCGCAUAAGCGCACAGUAUCACAUGAUACAGUGUGAAAAACUCCGGUGGUACAAGAUGGUCCCGCGUCUGAUUAGCUUGUUGGCGGGGUAAUGGCCCACCAAGGCGACGAUCAGUAGCCGACCUGAGAGGGUGACCGGCCACAUUGGGACUGAGACACGGCCCAAACUCCUACGGGAGGCAGCAGUGGGGAAUAUUGCACAAUGGAGGAAACUCUGAUGCAGCGACGCCGCGUGAGCGAUGAAGUAUUUCGGUAUGUAAAGCUCUAUCAGCAGGGAAGAUAAUGACGGUACCUGAGUAAGAAGCUCCGGCUAAAUACGUGCCAGCAGCCGCGGUAAUACGUAUGGAGCAAGCGUUAUCCGGAUUUACUGGGUGUAAAGGGAGUGUAGGCGGCUUUGCAAGUCAGAUGUGAAAGCCCGGGGCUCAACCCCGGGACUGCAUUUGAAACUGUGAAGCUGGAGUGUCGGAGAGGUAAGUGGAAUUCCUAGUGUAGCGGUGAAAUGCGUAGA